rnacentral:rRNA from 1 species
GACGAACGCUGGCGGCGUGCUUAACACAUGCAAGUCGAACGGAAAGGCCCUGCUUUUGUGGGGUGCUCGAGUGGCGAACGGGUGAGUAACACGUGAGUAACCUGCCCUUGACUUUGGGAUAACUUCAGGAAACUGGGGCUAAUACCGGGUAGGAGCUCCUGCUGCGUGGGGGGGGUUGGAAAGUUACGGCGGUUGGGGAUGGACUCGCGGGUUAUCAGCUUGUUGGUGGGGUAGUGGCUUACCAAGGCUUGGCCGGGUAGCCGGCCUGAGAGGGUGACCGGCCACAUUGGGACUGAGAUACGGCCCAGACUCCUACGGGAGGCAGCAGUGGGGAAUAUUGCACAAUGGGCGGAAGCCUGAUGCAGCAACGCCGCGUGCGGGAUGACGGCCUUCGGGUUGUAAACCGCUUUCGCCUGUGACGAAGCGUGAGUGACGGUAAUGGGUAAAGAAGCACCGGCUAACUACGUG